GAAUCAACAUUUCAGUCAGGGAUCCACAGGCUGAAUUGUUUUUGGAGAACUGCUGGGCAACCUAUUCUGCUGACAGGAAUAGCUCUCCAAAGUGGGAUGUUGUUGUGGACAGCUGUGAGAACUCUGCAGAUGAGUACUUGACCAUCUUUCACCCAGUCUCCAGCAAUGCAAGAGUGCCGUUCCCUUCCCAUCUGAAAAGGUUUGAAGUGAAAAUGUUUUCCUUCACAAGUGGCCGGGAUGCACUGAAAGGACAGAUUUACUUCCACUGCAGUGUUGUGAUAUGUGAUUCAAACCGGCCAUCAGACAGCCUCUGUAGCAGACGGUGCAUUCCAGGGAAACAGAGGCUUGGUCGCAGUGCUGAAGGGAUGGAUGGUGGUGCAGUAAAGGUGUUUGUGUCUUCUGGACCAAUUGAGCUGAAGAGAGAUGGAUCCCUUCACUUUAUGCCUAGAAGCGGCAAAUUCAAUGUGUGGUCCCUUCUGGGAGCUGCAAUGGGUGUGUGUUCAGUGGCUGUCUUUGUAGCUGGAGUUGUAUAUAUUUGGAAAAUGCCCAAAAGUGUGUAUUAGUAAAUAAAUCUUGUUUGUGAAGGUUGU